GAAAAGGAUACGGUGGUGGUGGUC
rnacentral:siRNA from 1 species